rnacentral:rRNA from 2 species
AGGGGGAUAACUACUGGAAACGGUAGCUAAUACCGCAUAACGUCUACGGACCAAAGUGGGGGACCUUCGGGCCUCAUGCCAUCAGAUGUGCCCAGAUGGGAUUAGCUAGUAGGUGGGGUAAUGGCUCACCUAGGCGACGAUCCCUAGCUGGUCUGAGAGGAUGACCAGCCACACUGGAACUGAGACACGGUCCAGACUCCUACGGGAGGCAGCAGUGGGGAAUAUUGCACAAUGGGCGCAAGCCUGAUGCAGCCAUGCCGCGUGUGUGAAGAAGGCCUUCGGGUUGUAAAGCACUUUCAGCGAGGAGGAAGGGUAGUGUGUUAAUAGCACAUUGCAUUGACGUUACUCGCAGAAGAAGCACCGGCUAACUCCGUGCCAGCAGCCGCGGUAAUACGGAGGGUGCAAGCGUUAAUCGGAAUUACUGGGCGUAAAGCGCACGCAGGCGGUUUGUUAAGUCAGAUGUGAAAUCCCCGCGCUUAACGUGGGAACUGCAUUUGAAACUGGCAAGCUAGAGUCUUGUAGAGGGGGGUAGAAUUCCAGGUGUAGCGGUGAAAUGCGUA